rnacentral:rRNA from 1 species
AUUGAACGCUGGCGGCAUGCUUUACACAUGCAAGUCGAACGGUAACAGGCCGCAAGGUGCUGACGAGUGGCGCACGGGUGUGUAAUGCAUCGGAACGUGCCCAGUCGUGGGGGAUAACUACUCGAAAGAGUAGCUAAUACCGCAUACGAUCUAUGGAUGAAAGCGGGGGACCGUAAGGCCUCGCGCGAUUGGAGCGGCCGAUGUCAGAUUAGGUAGUUGGUGGGGUAAAGGCUCACCAAGCCAACGAUCUGUAGCUGGUCUGAGAGGACGACCAGCCACACUGGGACUGAGACACGGCCCAGACUCCUACGGGAGGCAGCAGUGGGGAAUUUUGGACAAUGGGCGCAAGCCUGAUCCAGCAAUGCCGCGUGCAGGAAGAAGGCCUUCGGGUUGUAAACUGCUUUUGUACGGAACGAAACGGCUCUGGUUAAUACCCGGGGCUAAUGACGGUACCGUAAGAAUAGGCACCGGCUAACUACGUG